GACAGAGGGUGCAAAAGUUGUUCGGAAUUACUGGGCGUAAAGCGCGUGUAGGCGGCCAUGCAAGUCGGGUGUGAAAGCCCUGGGCUUAACCGAGGAAGUGGACACGAAACUGCAUGGCUCGAGUCCCGGAGAGGAUGGUGGAAUUGUCGGUGUAGAGGUGAAAUUCGUAGAUAUCGAGUGGAACACCGGUGGCGAAGGCGGCCAUCUGGACGGGUACUGGCGCUGAGACGCGAAAGCGUGGGUAGCAAACAGG
rnacentral:rRNA from 1 species